AACCCAAGCCUGUGGCUGGUCACUCUGCCAUACCGCCUCCUUAAGGCAGUCACAGAGAGCCUGGCCCAUGGAGUGGGAAUUCAUCUUUCACUAUUACCAGGACUGGGGAUUGAGUCCAUGGGCCUGAAAUUUGGCAGGACUAGAAUCAAUGCUAAUGAGACCAGACUCAUUUUUCUAAAGCACCAUUUCUAUCAUGUUGCUCCUGGGUGAAAAACCUGCGAUGACAGCCCAUUACCUUCAGGGAAAGGCCAGUGCCACGUCUGGAAUGGCUUUGGUGACUUCCACACUGGCCCCAGGCUGCCUUUCCUGCUUGGCCUCCCUCUGCCUCCCAGAUGCACCCUAUACCACCAGGCUGAUCUACAUACGGCCCCCUGAACCCUCAAACCUUCAACAUGCUUUGCACCCUCCCAAUUUCAUAUCUUUGCCCGUGUCAUCCCUCCUGUCUAGAUCACCCUCCUCCACAGCUGUGUGAGCACAUCAGCCUGCUCAGUGCAGGGGAAUGCUCUCCAAAGUCUUUUCUACUAUCCCACUAAGAAAGCAAAUAAAAGUAUGCACAUUUAAGUAUGUCCUAUCAGGCACAUACAAAUAAGUACAUUUGUUCUUUUUUUUUUUUGAGACUGAGUCUCACUCUGUUCCCCAGGCUGGAGUGCAGUGGUGCAGUCUCAGCUCACUGCAAUCUCUGCCUCCCAGGUUCAAGUGAUUCUCCUGCCUCAGCCUCUGGAUAGCUGGGAUUACAAGUGUGUGCCACCAUGCCUAGCUAAUUUUUGUAUUUUUAAUAGAGACAUAGUUUCACCAUGUUGCCCAGGCUGGUUUUGAACUCCUGACCUCAGGUGAUCCACUGGCCUCGGCCUCCCAAAGUGCUGGGAUUAUAGGCAAGAGCCACUGCGCUCAGUCUGCCCAGGCUGAUCUUAAACUUCUGGCCUCAAGUGAUCCGCCUGCCUCGGCCUCCCAAAGUGCUGAGAUUACAGGAAUGAGCCCCUGUGCCCGGACCAUUCAUUCAUUUAAUUUUAUUGUAUGUCGGGUGCUGCUAAGUUACAACAAUUAGGAUUUGGGUUGCAAACAGAAAAUAACCUAACAAUACAGCAUGUAAUACUUUUCUGUGGCUGUCUUGACAAGGUACCACAAACUUGG
rnacentral:lncRNA from 1 species